UGGGAUCUGGAGGUCUGUCCACCUUCCUCCAGCAGAGGGCGCCUCUAGGUCUCCUGGAGCUGAGCUGACAACCACACCUGCGAUCCAUCAGUCAUCAGGAGACCAGCAUAUAAGCAGCGGCAGGACUUCACUCCAGCGCCAGAGUGUUAAGCCAGUUAUGGAAGAAACCUGACUGAACCCUGGAACUCUGGAAGAGUUUCAUCUGCUGAAAUCUGCCUGCCGGCUCUCUGGAGCUCACCUGAAGAAUCUCACUGUCUGAACCUGCCUGCCUGCCCUCAAGAAGAGGAUCGGAAGAAGACUCUGGAUCUGAACACUGAAAGGUCUGAAGUCGAGCCCUGCCGUUGCUUAGCCCUCUGCCAACCUCAAGCCUCUAGACCCAACUGGUUCCCUCCCUCAGCUGCUAAUCAGAAUCUCGUCACGGAGAAUCCUGUGUGACCAGUCCCGGAUCUGUUACUCUGCUUUACUCAUAAAACUUGUGUUUAUUUUCAACAAACAGUCAAACUUUUCAUCUG